rnacentral:rRNA from 1 species
GACAGAGGAGGCGAGCGUUGUCCGGAGUUAUUGGGCGUAAAGGGUACGUAGGCGGCUGGUCAAGUCUGGGGAUAAAGACCACAGCUUAACUGUGGGGGGGCCUUGGAAACUGACCGGCUGGAGUGGGGCAGGGUUUGCGGGAAUUCCCGGUGUAGCGGUGAAAUGCGUAGAUAUCGGGAACAACGCCUGAGGCGAAAGCGCGCAACUGGGCCCUAACUGACGCUGAGGUACGAAAGCUAGGGGAGCGAAUGGG